CGGUGGCCAAGUGGUUAGCGCACUUGCCUUUCACCUCUGAGGCUGCAGGUUCGAGUCUCACUAAGUACCUUCUCAGUGCGACCCGAACCCAGUCCCCAUGUGAAAAGAGUAAAAGUCAACACUCUGCCGAAAACCGUGGGUUUUCCCCGGGUACUCCGGUUUCCUCCCACAGGGAAAGUUGACAGGGUGGAUUAAGGUAAAAAAAAAGGGCCCACAGUAAUUGGCGUAUGCUGUUGUGGUGACCCUGCCCUAGUUGGCAAAGCUAAAUAAAUAAAUAAAACCACUGCGUAUAUAAAUAGCGAAACCACCG